UUGACCGUGCGAAGGUAGGAUAAUCAUUGCCUCUUAAAUAGAGGCUGGUAUGAAUGGCAAGACGGAGGUUUGACUGUCUCUCUCUUAGGAAGAUUGAAUUUAAUUUUUUUGUGAAGAAGCAGAAAUAAUAUCGUAGGACGAGAAGACCCUGUCGAGCUUGAAUAAAAUUAGUUAAGUAUUGGAAGUGUUCUUAUGCUAAUUUAUUUUUGGUUAAAUAAAGGAAUUUACGUGAGACAUGAUUAUACUAUGUUAUUUUUUGUUUUGAUUGGGGCAAUCGCGGAGAAAAUGUAACCUCCGUUGUAAGUGUUAGUAUUAAAAGUGACUUCUUUUGUAGAAUAAAAAUGUGUAUUUAUGACCCACUUAGGAAGUGAGCGAAGGAAUAAGUUCCCACAGGGAUAACAGCGA
rnacentral:rRNA from 1 species